CGGGUAGCGGAACACGUACACAACCUUCCUUUUAGUGGGGAUAGCCCAGAGAAAUUUGGAUUAAUACCCCGUAAGAUUAUUAAGUGGCAUCAUUUGAUAAUUAAAGCUCCGGCGCUAGAAGAUGGGUGUGCGUCUGAUUAGGUAGUUGGUGCGGGUAACGGCCCACCAAGCCAGCGAUCAGUAACUGGUGUGAGAGCACGACCAGUCACACGGGCACUGAGACACGGGCCCG
rnacentral:rRNA from 1 species